AGGACUAGGCUUUCUGCCCCGCGUUCUCGGGAACAGACGCCUGGGGAUCCCGAGGCCACAGGGGCUCAGAUCAGAGUAGCGUUGUAAAAUCAGGAAUGACUUAAAAACUGUUUCUUUUUGUAGAGACAGGGUCUUGCUAUGUUGCCCAGGCCGUUUUUGAACUCCUGGCCUCAAGGGAUCCACCCGGCUCGGCCUCUCAAAGCGCUGGGAUUACAGGCAUGAGGCAUGGCGCCCGGCCCAAGGAUGGCAUUUCUGAUGCAAAAAUACCAUGAGUGACAUAGCCUGAGUGUGGUCAUUGCUAAUGUGGGAGGAAAAUACGGAGAGGAGGUGUCUCUGCAGCCGAGGAAGAGCGUGUUGUCAAGAGCCUGGCAGACAGGUGACUCCCCACUGCCCGCUCCCCAUGACACCCUCUCUUCUGCUUGGACACAGUGGAUUCUACUUUUGCAAUUAUAAUUCACAGCCUCAGCAAAUAUUUGUAAGAAGUGCACAGCAAAGAUAAGAAAGAUGAAGGUGGGUCCUGUUUUUUCCCCAGAGCUUACUGUCUUCUUGUUCUCAGACAGAAAAAAGGGCUGGGCGCGGUGGCUCACACCUGUAAUCCCAGCACUUUGGGAGGCCAAGGCGGGCGGAUCACCUGAGGCCAGGAGUUCCAAACCAGGCUGGCC
rnacentral:lncRNA from 10 species